GACGAACGCUGGCGGCGUGCUUAACACAUGCAAGUCGAGCGGUAAGGCCCUUUCGGGGUACGACGAGCGGCGAACGGGUAGAGUAACACGUGGGUGACCUGCCCUCCAGCUCUGGGAGUAAGCCUCGGGAAACCGGGUCUAAUACUGGAUAUGACUCCAUGACGCAUGUUGGUGGGGUGGAAAGCCUUGUGCGGCUGAGGAUGGGCCCGCGGCCUAUCAGCUUGUUGGUGGGGUGAGGCCUACCAAGGCGACGACGGGUAGCCGGCCUGAGAGGGCGACCGG
rnacentral:rRNA from 1 species